GGAAUGGAUCAUGGCUUAAAUUCUACAUGGCCCCUGGAUUGGACUGCGGCCGAUCAGGCUGUUGGUGAGGUAAUGGCCCACCAAACCUAUAACCGGUACGGGCUCUGAGAGGAGAAGCCCGGAGAUGGGCACUGAGACAAGGGCCCAGGCCCUAUGGGGCGCAGCAGGCGCGAAACCUCUGCAAUAGGCGAAAGCCUGACAGGGUUACUCUGAGUGAUUUCCGCUAAGGGGAUCUUUUGGCACCUCUAAAAAUGGUGCAGAAUAAGGGGUGGGCAAGUCUGGUGUCAGCCGCCGCGGUAAUACCAGCACCCCGAGUGGUCGGGACGAUUAUUGGGCCUAAAGCAUCCGUAGCCGGUUCUGCAAGUCUUCCGUUAAAUCCAGCCGCUCAACGGAUGGGCCGCGGAGGAUACUACAGGACUAGGAGGCGGGAGAGGCAAGCGGUACUCAGUGGGUAGGGGUAAAAUCCUUUGAUCCAUUGAAGACCACCAGUGGCGAAGGCGGCUUGCCAGAACGCGCUCGACGGUGAGGGAUGAAAGCUGGGGGAGCAAACCGGAUUAGAUACCCGGGUAGUCCCAGCUGUAAACGAUGCAGACUCGGUGAUGGGCUAGCCUUGUGCCAGCCCAGUGCCGC
rnacentral:rRNA from 1 species